GGUGUAACUCAUUCGUUAUUUACGUUUUGCGAUGCACCGGAUCCCAUCAGGACUCUGCUGUUAAGCGUGCUUGGGUGAGAGUUGUACUAGGAUGAGUGACCUCCUGGGAUGUCCUCGUGUUGCACCCC
rnacentral:rRNA from 1 species